rnacentral:rRNA from 1 species
UACGUAGGGGGCGAGCGUUGUCCGGAUUUAUUGGGCGUAAAGAGCGUGUAGGCGGCCAGGUAGGUCUGCUGUGAAAACUCGAGGCUUAACCUCGAGAUGUCAUCGGAAACCAUCUGGCUAGAGUCCGGAAGAGGAGAGUGGAAUUCCUGGUGUAGCGGUGAAAUGCGCAGAUAUCAGGAAGAACACCCGUGGCGAAGGCGGUUCUCUGGGACGGUACUGACGCUGAGACGCGAAAGCGUGGGGAGCGAACAGG